rnacentral:rRNA from 1 species
GGUAGUCCACGCCGUAAACGAUGUCGACUUGGAGGUUGUGCCCUUGAGGCGUGGCUUCCGGAGCUAACGCGUUAAGUCGACCGCCUGGGGAGUACGGCCGCAAGGUUAAAACUCAAAUGAAUUGACGGGGGCCCGCACAAGCGGUGGAGCAUGUGGUUUAAUUCGAUGCAACGCGAAGAACCUUACCUACUCUUGACAUCCAGAGAACUUAGCAGAGAUGCUUUGGUGCCUUCGGGAACUCUGAGACAGGUGCUGCAUGGCUGUCGUCAGCUCGUGUUGUGAAAUGUUGGGUUAAGUCCCGCAACGAGCGCGACCCUUAUCCUUUGUUGCCAGCGGUUAGGCCGGGAACUCAAAGGAGACUGCCAGUGAUAAACUGGAGGAAGGUGGGGAUGACGUCAAGUCAUCAUGGCCCUUACGAGUAGGGCUACACACGUGCUACAAUGGCGCGUACAAAGAGAAGCGACCUCGCGAGAGCAAGCGGACCUCAUAAAGUGCGUCGUAGUCCGGAUUGGAGUCUGCAACUCGACUCCAUGAAGUCGGAAUCGCUAGUAAUCGUAGAUCAGAAUGCUACGGUGAAUACGUUCCCGGGCCUUGUACACACCGCCCGUCACACCAUGGGAGUGGGUUGCAAAAGAAGUAGGUAGCUUAACCUUCGGGAGGGCGCUUACCACUUUGUGAUUCAUGACUGGGGUGAAGUCGUAACAAGGUAACCGUAGGGGAACCUGC